rnacentral:rRNA from 1 species
AGAACGAACGCUGGCGGCGUGCCUAACACAUGCAAGUCGCACGAGAACGUUCCCUUCGGGGAGCUAGUAAAGUGGCAGACGGGUGAGUAACACGUGGGUAACCUGCCCGGAGGUGGGGGAUAACCCUCCGAAAGGAGGGCUAAUACCGCAUAAUAUCCGCGAAUCCGAGGGUUUGCGGAUCAAAGCUUGCCUCUACGAGUAAGCUUGUGCCACCGGAGGGACCCGCGGCCCAUUAGCUUGAUGGUGAGGUAGUGGCUCACCAUGGCGACGAUGGGUAGCCGGCCUGAGAGGGCGAUCGGCCACACUGGAACUGAGACACGGUCCAGACUCCUACGGGAGGCAGCAGUGAGGAAUCUUGCGCAAUGGGGGAAACCCUGACGCAGCGACGCCGCGUGGAGGACGAAGGCCUUCGGGUCGUAAACUUCUGUCAAGUGGGACGAAUGCCUCGGGGAUGAAUAAGCCCCGUGAUUGACGGUACCACUGGAGGAAGCCCCGGCUAACUCCGUGCCAGCAGCCGCGGUAAUACGGAGGGGGCCAGCGUUGUUCGGAAUUAUUGGGCGUAAAGGGCGCGUAGGCGGCUAGGUAAGUCGGACGUGAAAUCCCGCGGCUCAACCGCGGAACUGCGUUCGAAACUGCUUGGCUUGAGUCCCGGAGAGGGUAGCGGAAUUCCUAGUGUAGCGGUGAAAUGCGUAGAUAUUAGGAAGAACACCAGUGGCGAAGGCGGCUAUCUGGACGGGUACUGACGCUGAGGCGCGAAAGCGUGGGGAGCAAACAGGAUUAGAUACCCUGGUAGUCCACGCUGUAAACGUUGGGCACUUGGUGUUGCGGGUAUCGACCCCUGCAGUGCCGAAGCUAACGCAUUAAGUGCCCCGCCUGGGGAGUACGGUCGCAAGGCUG